GCACCUAUGGCUCAGUGGUAGAGCAUUCCACUUGUAUCUGCAAUUUGGUAAUGGAAAGGUCCGCGGUUCGAUCCCGCGUGGGUGCA
rfam:Aspergillus clavatus NRRL 1 1099423829794 genomic scaffold, whole genome shotgun sequence.